AUGAACGCUGGCGGCGUGCUUAACACAUGCAAGUCGCGCGAGAAGUUUUGAAAAGAUUCUUCGGAUGAAAUUUAAAAUGGAAAGCGGCGGACGGGUGAGUAACGCGUAGGCAACCUGCCCCAUACAAAGGGAUAGCAUUUGGAAACGAAUAUUAAUACCUUAUGAAACUUAACUAGUGCAUGCUAGGUAGGUCAAAGAUUUAUCGGUAUGGGAUGGGCCUGCGUCUGAUUAGCUAGUUGGUGAGGUAACGGCUCACCAAGGCGACGAUCAGUAGCCGACCUGAGAGGGUGAACGGCCACAUUGGAACUGAGACACGGUCCAAACUCCUACGGGAGGCAGCAGUGGGGAAUAUUGCACAAUGGGGGAAACCCUGAUGCAGCAACGCCGCGUGAACGAUGAAGGCCUUUGGGUCGUAAAGUUCUGUUCUAGGUGAUGAAAACUGACAGUAACCUAGGAGAAAGCCCCGGCUAACUCCGUG
rnacentral:rRNA from 1 species